AUUCUUUACUUCCAUAGCUGCUUUGCCUCUAUCCUCUGCAACAUCCACCUGCUCACCACUUUUAGUAGUGAUAUCUGUCAAUUGCUUUUCAUUUGUCUGCUGUUCAUGAUGCUGCAUACUUUCUAUCCCCUGCAACAUACUACCUUGCUCCUUUUGCAUAGCACUUUGUACUUCAAUUGGCACACUUGCCUCCUGUUCAAUCUCCUGAUCUGCUGGCUUUUGAACUGCUUCAGUUGGCACANN
rnacentral:lncRNA from 1 species